AUCGACCGCUGGCGGCAGGCCUAACACAUGCAAGUCGAACGAGUGGCGGACGGGUGAGUAAUGUCUGGGAAACUGCCUGAUGGAGGGGGCUAACUACUGGAAACGGUAGCUAAUACCGCAUACCAUCGGAUGUUCCCAGAUGGGAUUAGUGAGUAGGUGGGGUAAAGGCUCACCUAGGCGACGAUCCCUAGCUGGUCUGAGAGGAUGACCGGCCACACUGGAGCUGAGACACGGUCCAGACUCCUACGGGCGGCAGCAGUGGGGAAUAUUGCACAAUGGGCGCAAGCCUGAUGCAGCCAUGCCGCGUGUAUGAAGAAGGCCUUCGGGUUGUAAAGUACUUUCAGCGGGGAGGCGUUACCCGCAGAAGAAGCACCGGCUAACUCCGUGCCAGCCGCCGAGGUAAUUC
rnacentral:rRNA from 1 species